rnacentral:rRNA from 1 species
GACGAACGCUGGCGGCGUGCUUAACACAUGCAAGUCGAACGGAAAGGCCCUGCUUUUGUGGGGUGCUCGAGUGGCGAACGGGUGAGUAACACGUGAGUAACCUGCCCUUGACUUUGGGAUAACUUCAGGAAACUGGGGCUAAUACCGGAUAGGAGCUCCUGCUGCAUGGUGGGGGUUGGAAAGUUUCGGCGGUUGGGGAUGGACUCGCGGCUUAUCAGCUUGUUGGUGGGGUAGUGGCUUACCAAGGCUUUGACGGGUAGCCGGCCUGAGAGGGUGACCGGCCACAUUGGGACUGAGAUACGGCCCAGACUCCUACGGGAGGCGGCAGUGGGGAAUAUUGCACAAUGGGCGGAAGCCUGAUGCAGCAACGCCGCGUGCGGGAUGACGGCCUUCGGGUUGUAAACCGCUUUCGCCUGUGACGAAGCGUGAGUGACGGUAAUGGGUAAAGAGGCACCGGCUAACUACGUG